rnacentral:rRNA from 1 species
AUUGAACGCUGGCGGCAUGCCUUACACAUGCAAGUCGAACGGCAGCACGGGAGCAAUCCUGGUGGCGAGUGGCGAACGGGUGAGUAAUAUAUCGGAACGUGCCCGGUCGUGGGGGAUAACGUAGCGAAAGCUACGCUAAUACCGCAUACGAUCUACGGAUGAAAGCGGGGGAUCGCAAGACCUCGCGCGAUUGGAGCGGCCGAUAUCAGAUUAGGUAGUUGGUGAGGUAAAGGACUCACCAAGCCGACGAUCUGUAGCUGGUCUGAGAGGACGACCAGCCACACUGGGACUGAGACACGGCCCAGACUCCUAC